rfam:Rhizobium sp. Root1212 contig_4, whole genome shotgun sequence.
UGCCGGCUUUCCAUCAGCCGGGGUUACUUAGAGGCACACCUUCAUUGCCGGAAGUGCGGUCGGGUUCCCCCACCAAUCCAUGGCAGACAAAGCGGAUCAAAAGCUCUUGGCAGGGCGUUGAUCCAUCAUCCGCGCUGUACGAGCGCAUGCGUGGU